UGUAAGCGUAUACCAAAGUUGUUGCAGUUAAAACGCUCGUAGUCGGAAUUUGGCAGUUCCGGAUGUGUGCACGUCGUGUGCGCACUUCGCGGGGAUUGCUUUUGUGGUCUUGCGUAGGAUGAGGCACUUUUAUUAGUGAACGUCCUCACGCAACCACUUUUUACUGUGAGAAAAUCAGAGUGCUCAAAGCAGGCAUUUGCCGUGAAUGUAUUAGCAUGGAAUAAUAGAAUAGGACUUGGUUCUAUUUUGUUGGUUUGUUGGGACUGAGUAAUGAUUAAGAGGGACAGUUGGGGGCAUUUGUAUUUCGGUGCUAGAGGUGAAAUUCUUAGAUUACCGAAAGACAAACUGCUGCGAAAGCGUCUGCCAAGGGUGUUUUCAUUGA
rnacentral:rRNA from 1 species